UCAUCCAUUUCUCGAAAUCAAUAUCUAACAUUGCCUCAUCAUAAGUCUUGAGAUCAAUCCUAAUGUUUCUAUCUCCCACAAAGAAUGCUUCUUCUAGAUCCUCUGUAAGAAUACCCAAGUAUCUUUCAGGAAGAUGGGAGACCUUACUUGAUCUACAAGGUGGAAGAGGUACCACAUCUACUGGCUCACUAUUGAAUUCAAGUUCUUGAACUCGAUACUCUUCAGAGACCUUUUCUUCGAGCUCAAUUCUCCUAUCACUGCCUCC
rnacentral:lncRNA from 1 species